GAUGAACGCUGGCGGCGUGCCUAAUACAUGCAAGUCGAGCGAACGGACGAGAAGCUUGCUUUUCUGAUGUUAGCGGCGGACGGGUGAGUAACACGUGGAUAACCUACCUAUAAGACUGGGAUAACUUCGGGAAACCGGAGCUAAUACCGGAUAAUAUUUUGAACCGCAUGGUUCAAAAGUGAAAGACGGUCUUGCUGUCACUUAUAGAUGGAUCCGCGCUGCAUUAGCUAGUUGGUAAGGUAACGGCUUACCAAGGCAACGAUGCAUAGCCGACCUGAGAGGGUGAUCGGCCACACUGGAACUGAGACACGGUCCAGACGCCUACGGGAGGCAGCAGUAGGGAAUCUUCCGCAAUGGGCGAAAGCCGGACGGAGCAACGCCGCGUGAGUGAUGAAGGCCUUCGGAUCGUAAAACUCUGUUAUUAGGGAAGAACAUAUGUGUAAGUAACUGUGCACAUCUUGACGGUACCUAAUCAGAAAGCCACGGCUAACUACGUG
rnacentral:rRNA from 1 species